rnacentral:lncRNA from 10 species
AUUCCGAUUCUGUGACUUCAUCUGUGAUUUCAUCCUGGGAGUCGGUAGCAGCCCUCUUAGGUUUGCUCUCAUGACCUCACCCUUUCUCUCCUAACGAGAGGCCCACGGUGACUGCCGACACCUGGCAGGCUGAUAUCCAGGGCUCCUGUGUGGGCUUGUGGGUCUCCCUGGGACCAAACCCUGUGUGAAGAGCAGGCUCCAGGUUGGCUCCGUGUCAAGCAGGAGCUUGAGAACCCACAGGCCCGUGUUCUAGAAGCAUAUACAACCCCAGAUCCGCACAUACCAGCAGAGCAUUAAUGUCUCCCCACCACAAAUGCCAAACGCUAGAGCUGAGAACGCUGGAGGGACCCUGGGAUCUUUAGUGGGCCCAGCGUUGCUGCUGAGGAGGCCUGGGGACCCAUGGCCGCACCGACCUUCUUAAUUCACUAGGUUGCUUUAGGGGAAUGGAGGCAGAAAUCCAGGCGAGUUUGCCACCUUUGUAACAACAAAACCCUAAUGUUCUUCUUUUCCUAAUCAUU